rnacentral:misc_RNA from 1 species
UCUCCGUAGGUGAACCUGCGGAGGGAUCAUUACAGAGUUCAUGCCCUACCGGGUAGAUCUCCCACCCUAUGUUAUUAUUACUUUGUUGCUUUGGCGGGCCGUUAGGCUCCGGCCCGACUACCGGCCCCGGCUGGUAAGCGCCCGCCAGAGGACCCAAAACCCUGAAUAUCAGUGUCGUCUGAGUACUAUAUAAUAGUUAAAACUUUCAACAACGGAUCUCUUGGUUCUGGCAUCGAUGAAGAACGCAGGC